rnacentral:rRNA from 1 species
GAUGAACGCUAGCGGCAGGCUUAACACAUGCAAGUCGAGGGGUAUAGGUUUUCGGACCUAGAGACCGGCGCACGGGUGCGUAACGCGUAUGCAAUCUACCUUUUGCAGAGGGAUAGCCCAGAGAAAUUUGGAUUAAUACCUCAUAGUAUAACACAAUCGCAUGAUUGAGUUAUUAAAGUCACAACGGCAAAAAAUGAGCAUGCGUCCCAUUAGCUAGAUGGUAAGGUAACGGCUUACCAUGGCUACGAUGGGUAGGGGUCCUGAGAGGGAGAUCCCCCACACUGGAACUGAGACACGGACCAGACUCCUACGGGAGGCAGCAGUGAGGAAUAUUGGUCAAUGGACGCAAGUCUGAACCAGCCAUGCCGCGUGCAGGAUGACGGUCCUAUGGAUUGUAAACUGCUUUUGUACAGGAAGAAACACUCCUUCGUGAAGGGACUUGACGGUACUGUAAGAAUAAAGAUCGGCUAACUCCGUGCCAGCCGCCGCAGUAA